rnacentral:misc_RNA from 1 species
CGCACAUUGCACCCUCUGGUAUUCCGGGGGGUAUGCCUGUUCGAGCGUCAUUGCAACCCUCAAGCCCCGCUUGGUAUUAGGUGACACCGCGCUGGUGCCCCUCAAAAGCAUUGGCAAGUGGCACUGAGCUCCUAGCGCAGUAGAUUUCUCGCUCUGGGGCCCGGUGUCUGACUGCCAGAACCUUAAUGACUAAAGGUUGACCUCGGAUCAGGUAGGGAUACCCGCUGAACUUAA